rnacentral:rRNA from 1 species
UUGACCUCGGAUCAGGUAGGACUACCCGCUGAACUUAAGCAUAUCAAUAAGCGGAGGAAAAGAAACCAACAGGGAUUGCCCCAGUAACGGCGAGUGAAGCGGCAACAGCUCAAAUUUGAAAUCUGGCUCUCGGGCCCGAGUUGUAAUUUGUAGAGGAUGCUUUUGGUGCGGUGCCUUCCGAGUUCCCUGGAACGGGACGCCAUAGAGGGUGAGAGCCCCGUCUGGUCGGA